CCCAUAACUUUUUUAUUUUGUGUUUUUAAUAAACACUUGCAUAGUUGUAUUACAAUUUUGUAAAAAUGAAACACAUUAUCUCAUGUCAAGCAUGCCCAGCAUUUGCACAGUAUCAAUACCUUUAAUACUAUAGUUUUCAAGAAACACAAAAUAAAAUUUUAAGGCAAAAACAACACUUAGAAACAAUUUAAUGAUUUAUUACAUUACAGUGGCAUCACACCAGCAGUCAAUAAGGCCACUCUAGGGAAAAAUCUUUCAGUAUUUCCAUUACACAUUCUGUUUACAAGAAUUCACAAACUGGUAAAAUUCAUUCUAACAAAACUUGGCAAAUAAAGCUUUGGACUGGAAUUGGCAUUUCUUUCUCUGCUUUUCCUUCCCACUGUUUCUUUCUUUUAUACUAUAGUAUUCAUAUUUUAAAAUGUUUUAACUUAUUUCAGAACAUUAAGAUAGCAGUUACAUUUUUAAUAGUUAUAUUAUUUUAAAAUGACUCUAAGAUAAAGUUUUAGAGAAACUAUAUUAUGGAUAGGGCUGAUUUACAUUUUCAAAUUUUCUAAAAUCAGCUUUCGUUUUAGAGCUGAUUUUUUUUUCAUUUCUGGAAAAUUAUCAGGUUUAAUCAAAUACUUUUAAAAUGAUUAUUAUAUAUUGCCAUCUUUAAAUAGGUGUUUUGAUUCUUCCUACAGAAAUUAAAAUGUAUUCAGUGGAACUCACAUUUUAAAAUUCUAUGUUUCUGAUGAACUCUAACAUUCCAAUGUUGCCUUCUAAGCAAACUGAAAGCUGCCUUAUACCGAAUGAGGAAGAGCACAAAUACUCGGCUGAAUGAGGUAUCGCAAAAGACUGCAUGCACUUUGGAGAAAGACUUAAGUUAUUGUCAUACAAUUUCCAUUCCUUUUAGCUUUUUCUUAAAUAUAUGACAAAUACCUACACAAAGAGUGGUAUUUCAGUCAAUAUAGUAAAUUUAUUUUCCAGACUGACCUUCAGCUUAAAUAUGCCAGUGUGUGAUUUAAUCCAUAGGCACCUCAUGAACACAUUAUUGUCAGAUUGGUUACAGAUGCUAAACGCUAUCCGAAGGUCAUUCCUAGUCACUGAUAUUUAUCAGGGUAAAAGUGAAGUGAUUUCAACGAUAAAAGUACCUUUGAAAUAAUUUAUCAAUGUAUUAGAUAAAAUUUGGAAGAGUCAGUUGAAGUCACAAGGACCGAAUAUUUGCACUCUUUCAGUGAAUGCCAGCAAAUCUGUUAUUCCAUCGGUAAAAUCGUAUUGUUGCUCUCCUGUUAAUGUCAUAUUUAUAGAAGUAUCAUGAGGAUGCCAAAUGCUAAAAAUGGAGAUGAUCUAGUAACUAGAAAUCCCCACCGCAGGGAGCACACACACCUAUCUCCCUGCAUCCUAACAAUGUGAUGUGUUUUGGAACACAGACAUUAGAACUUCAUGAAGUUUUAACUGUUGAGUCUUUCCCAAGCAUCAUCAAGUUACGAUUUAGGCAAUACAUAACUGAAAUGCAUUCAUUCAUCAUGCAUAGGCACAAUCACAUAAAUAUUGCACAAAAUAUGUCCCGAACAGAAACCCAGAGAUACAAAAACAUAUUUCACUUUGUAAAGAAGUCUGUGAGAAAAUAUAACUCUGUGAUUGUAUAGGCACGUUUCCUGAUAAUACAUUGACAUUCACGAACAGUAGAUUGCACUGCAGUUUGUACACAUUUUAAGUUUCAUAAACUUCUCCUUGAUUUUCAAAGAUAGUAUAAUACCGUCUACUAAAACUCCCUUUUGUUUCAACUAAGUAUCUCACAUAUAUUAGUUUAUAAUAAUGUUUCUAUUAUUUUUUAAAGUGUUUUCCAUUCAAGGAAAAAGAAGUAAAUUCCUAUGUCAGAGUAACCAAGGUGGUUGAAGAAUAGGUAUUAGCCAAAGAGGUCUAGAUGGUAAAAUCAAUCUUCAAGCCUCAAAGAAUCUCCGUGAACAGAGAGGAAUGCCAGGUGUCACACAGCUUUCCUUCACUCUAAUUCAUUCUUGACUAGAGCCUGUAUGCCUGUUCCAGGGACAUUUGAACUCGUAAAGGAUUUCUUAUGAUCUUUACUAAAUACAUUAAGAAGAAUGCCAACCAGUGCCCUUUUGUGUACUGGGACAUGUAGUCAUGUGAUUAAAACAGGUAACAUGAACUCUGAGUUUAAAAUGUAUUGUAGAUACAAAUGCUCUAAGCUAGGAAAGGUUUUCCACAUCCACAGUCAACGAUGGGAACCUUUCAUUCCUCAGAAAUAAGCCCUUUUUAGGUCAUUGAAAAAGAGUACAACUGCUGCAGCUCAUGAUGCAGUAUCUUCAUGAGCCCAGAGCACAUACAAAUCCUAAGGGAACCACCAUAAUACACUGCUAAUUCCUGGCACCGGAACAGAUGAAACACACUCUAUCCUGGACAUACCUGCCAGAGGAGGCCACUUUCCUCUUCUGUGAGAUUUAAAAAGCUCCCUCAAAAGGUUUCACUCCCAUCACCAAUACACAGAAAAUGGAGGAAAGGCUGUUUCCAGUUCUUGGCCUUUAAACAACUCUAAAUGUCAGUACUCAUAGUGGCAUAUUACAAAGUAAUAAACAGUGCACGCUUGGGGGCAAACUACAUAUUGAGCUAACGAAGAGCUCACUGUGAUUAAGAUUAGAUCAAACAACAGCAGAACAUAGGCAAAUUUUGUCUGAAUUCUGUAGUGAAUAUACAUGCUGCAAUAACAUUAAAAAAGCAUGGCAGCCUAUUCCAAACCAGCGAGAACAGUUUUGGGCAAAGAGUGGGUCUUUGUGUGUUUGAACCCCCACCACGUAAGGGCAAACUCGAUAUGCAUGCUAAUGACCUACAAUUAUGAAAUUAAAAAAGAAAAAUGCUAAAGGAUGCCAGAGUGAACAUCAGUGAGAGCCACAGACACCCACUCUCUUUUAACUUUUUACAAAUAAACUUAAAACUAUAAAUUAGAAACACAAAUAAUCAUGAGUGACUCUAACAUUCAAAGGAAGUAAAUGAAUUGUGUAGGAGAUUAACCCCAUAACUUGGUUUCUUAUUUAAAAAUUUCUUGAGCAGCUCUUUGAUGAUGGUGAUGUUUAUCUCCUUCUUCUUGGCAGCCAAGCCCAGCAAAAGAAUGGCACACAGCAGUUGUUGCCCAAGCCUGGGUGCUCCUGGUGGUCCUGCACGAUCGGCUGUGCAGUAGGCUUGUCAAGGAGAGGAUCCUCCCUGGCCUCUCCUUGGGCAGAGGAGGUGAGGCUCACCUCACAAAGAUCUUUGGAGAGAGGGAGGCAGGGAUCUGAGCACAGUGGGAGCCCCCUCUUCCUGCCUGCCCACCCCACCUGAGGGCUCUACUCACCACCAUGCUUGUCUGCAGCCCCAAGCUCCUGGGGGGCUGGGGCUCCUGGACCGGGCUCAUCAGCAG
rnacentral:lncRNA from 1 species